ensembl:snRNA U2 U2 spliceosomal RNA
GUAAUUUUUUGAGAAGGACCUGUAUAUGGAUUUGAUAAAAAAAAAUCUGUUCUUAUCAGUUUAAUAUCUGAUAUGUCCCCUAUCUGGGGACUACAUAUUAAAUUGAUUUUUGGAUCACGGAGCUGGAGCCGGGGCUUGCUCUGUUCACUCCACGCAUCGGCCUGGUAUUGCAGUGUCUCCAGGAACAGUGUGCAUCCC